rnacentral:rRNA from 1 species
GUCUACGGCCAUGCCCACCCCCCGCAACAAGCCCGAUCCCAUCUGAUCUUGGGAGCUAAGCAGGGUGGGGCCUGGUUAGUAUCUGGAUGGGAUGAGACACGCUAGGAAGACCAGGUGCUGUAGGUA